GGCGGCCUUAGCGCGGUGGUCCCACCUGACCCCAUGCCGAACUCAGAAGUGAAACGCCGUAGCGCCGAUGGUAGUGUGGGGUCUCCCCAU
rnacentral:rRNA from 1 species